rnacentral:rRNA from 1 species
UACGUAGGGUGCGAGCGUUAAUCGGAAUUACUGGGCGUAAAGCGUGCACAGGCGGUUUGCUAAGACAGGUGUGAAAUCCCCGGGCUUAACCUGGGAACUGCGCUUGUGACUGGCAGGCUAGAGUACGGUAGAGGGGGGUGGAAUUCCUGGUGUAGCAGUGAAAUGCGUAGAUAUCAGGAGGAACACCGAUGGCGAAGGCAGCCCCCUGGGCCUGUACUGACGCUCAUGCACGAAAGCGUGGGGAGCAAACAGGAUUAGAUACCCGCGUA